UACGGGGGGAGCAAGCGUUGUUCGGAUUUACUGGGCGUAAAGGGCGGGUAGGCGGCCACCGCAAGUCGACUGUGAAAUCUCCGGGCUUAACCCGGAAAGGUCAGCCGAUACUGCGGGGCUAGAGUGCAGAAGGGGCAACUGGAAUUCUCGGUGUAGCGGUGAAAUGCGUAGAUAUCGUAAGGAACGCCAGUGGCGAAAGCGAAUCUCUGGGCAGCAACUGACGCUGAGGCACGAAGGCCAGGGGAGCAAACGGG
rnacentral:rRNA from 1 species